GAUGAACGCUGACAGAAUGCUUAACACAUGCAAGUCUUUGGCGAAGCUGUGCUUGCACAGCCUAGCCAAGGCGGACGGGUGAGUAACGCGUAAGGAACUUGCCCUGCAGUCAGGGAUAACAGACGGAAACGACUGAUAAGACCUGGUAAAGUCAGGCGGACUCAUGUCCAGCCUGAUGAAAAGAGAUGCUGCAGGAGAGCCUUGCGUCCUAUUAGCUUGUUGGUGGGGUAACGGCCCACCAAGGCGAUGAUAGGUAGCCGGCCUGAGAGGGUGGACGGCCACAAGGGGACUGAGAUACGACCCUUACUCCUACGGGAGGCAGCAGUGGGGAAUAUUGGACAAUGGGGGCAACCCUGAUCCAGCAAUUCUGUGUGCACGAUGAAGGUUUUCGGAUUGUAAAGUGCUUUCAGCAGGGAAGAAAAAAAUGACGGUACCUGCAGAAGAAGCGACGGCUAAAUACGUG
rnacentral:rRNA from 1 species